AGGGGGGCUGGAUGGUGAAGGAUGGGGAUCGCCGGGCCGGGCCCAGCAUCUCGAAAAAACUUUUCAAGAGUUACUAGAUCCGAGACGCGAACCAGCUCCUCCUGCGUGGUACGCCGACAGUGUUACCAUUCGACCAUUCGGCCAUCCGGCCGCUCAGCUUCAUAAUCUGUAGACAAUAUUUUAAAACUGGCACUGCAAUUGCCAAUUUUAAAAUGACGUCUAUGAAGGAUAAUUUUGCAAUAAGAUGUCCACCGCCAUAAUGAGAUUUAGAUUUUUAUCAAUUUUUCGAUACGUUUCCAAAUCGAUUGAUUGGGAGGGAUGGUCAAAUAUCAUGGCUGUCACAUUCACCAAACAUAAACCCUCAUAAAAAAUCAAGAGGGAUAAUUAAGGACAAAGUGUAUUCGAUACCAGUUCUUGAUAUUGAAGUUUUGAAGGUAAGGAUAACUAAUGCUUUAACAACGGUUACUGACGAGAUGUUGGAGAAAACAUGGAGAGAAAUCGAGUAUCGACUAGACGUUCUCCGGAUAAUAAACGAAGAACAUGUUGAAGUGUUCUAGUAUAGAGAAAAUCUAUGGAAUAAUAUUAUUUAAUAAAAAACUAUUUGAGUAAAAGUUUUUUACUAGAGUUAGAGAUAAAAUAUACAAAAACUGUGCUAGCUACAAAUGUUUCAAAUUAGGGAAAGAUUUUAUGUUGAUCCUGUAUAUAUUAUAUAUGAAAUGAUAAAAAAUACGAACCGUUGUAUUGUUGCAAUUGUAGGCUAUGAAAGAAACACAUUAAAUUAUAUAUACUGUAUAUAAAUGAAAAUAUAUAGAAUAAUGAUAUGUUUCAUCGGGCUUUAUAAAUAGCUCACAGAUCACUGUUUCAGUAAUUUAAUUUCAGGACAGGAAAAAAAUAUGCGUACUUUUUCAAAUUGUAACAGAUCAUUUUAGUAGGAAUUAACAAAUCCAAAGAUUAGAUGACCUAUGCCAUGCAAUGCUAAAUUUUUAUCCUGAUUUUGAUGAAUAUUUUAUGGAUUUCAAUAAAACAGCCGAUCACAGCAGAAUUACGCAAAAAUGAUUUGAUAAAUAUCAAGAAAUUCCAUCAUCAUCUUUGCUUUCUCAUUCCUCUGAUCUUAAUUGUUUACAGAAUGUAUGGGAUAUGUUGGAAUCAAUUUUGUAAUAGCUUCAUGAUAUUUUACUUGAGCAAAAAUAGUCAACUUUCGACUAAAAUGCAUUGAAACAUCUUAUAAAGUCCAUGUUUCUCAUUAAUGGUUGUCAUUCGAACAGAGGCGGCUCUAUUUAAUAUUAAAGAAAUGUUAUUUUUGUAUUCUAUGCUAUUAUAUAUAUAAACUAAAUAUCUGAAUCAUGAUUUAAACUUUUAAGCGAAAAAUUGUCCCAAUUUCUCAGUAUUCUCCUAUUAAUAUAACUAUCUGUAUUAAAUAAUUGUAAAUUAUUAGUUUUUUACAUAUAAUUUCUAAUUUUAUGAUAUUCUUAAUCAUAAUUUUGUUAUAUAGUUCAGAUGGAUCUAGUAAUUUUCUCUGAUAUAAAAUAAAUAUAGGUUUGUAUAAGGUUACUGAGUAAAAUAUUUAAAUGGGCUUAAAAAAUGAACAUGUAAAUAAUAUUAUUA
rnacentral:lncRNA from 1 species